GGUCUGCUGCGCGGUGCGUCAGGCAGCCAACGUCCCUGGGGCUAUAUCUUCCUCUUGGGAGCUGUCCCUGUCGAGGCCCUGGUCUCGUUACACGGCGCCCACCUGCACAAGCAGGCCACGGAGGACUUGCAGGCCAACGGCCGAGGUGGCGCCGC
rnacentral:other from 1 species